CCCCCCUCUCUCCCUCUCCCUCUCCCUGUAAUGGAAUUCGAUAAUUCCACUCUCUUUUAGGCCACUCUUUCCCUGUCCCUCGUAUUUAUAAUUUAUGUGCUUUUUCGAUUUUCCUCUUUCUCUCUGAGUCUCUGCCUCCGCUCCCUCUCUCGCCGGCGCCCAAAGCCCUAAAUCCUCUCAAUCUAUUGCUCGAACCCUCAUCACCUGUCCGUACAAUCUCCUUUUCCCAUGAUUAUAUCAAAUCAAUCCCAGUUUUAAGGAUGAUUGACUGCGGGGAUGUCAUUGUGGUAAUAUAUAGUAUUCUCAAAUUCGUCUUCCUUGCUGCAACUGAGUGAACAAAGUCUGGGUAAAUCUAUCUUUGUAGCAAAUGGACCGCUGUGAUACUUCUGGAUUUGUCAGUGGGGGUGGCAUGGACACUUCCAAAGACAACUAGUUCUGCACCGAAAUGAAAAGAGGACAGCUAACCAUUAGUUUUAUGGCUAACAUUUUUUGACCUGGAAGUCAGGUAGGUUGUUAUUGCAAUUGUGAUUUGGUUUGGAAAUCACUGUGGCACUUUGGAUAUAGGUAUAUGGACGCCAGAUUUCAGAACAUUGGUUUUGCUGGUAUUUAUUCUCCAAAUGUAUUCAAGAUUUUGGGCAGUUCAAUGAAAGUUGGAGGAGCUGGGUCUGAGCAUGGAGCAGAUACCAUCCUGCGUCUUGAUUCCCCUGUUUCUUCAACCCCUUUCAUGUCUGCUUCGAAGGGAGUCAAACGGAAAUGGAGUUUGAUUGAUUCGUCAAUGGGCCAGCAAGUUGGCUCUGCACUAUCUCUUGGGCUUGGCCGUUCAUCAAGUUCCUCUGAUAGCAAGGGAAGUUCUGCAACUGGUUGCACUACAAUUUCCUCAGCCAAAGAAAUUGAUGAGGAGUCCUCAAUGGACAUUGAAUUGGACUUUACUCUCCAUCUUGGCAAUGAGAAGAUUCCCAGCCCCAAAAA